rnacentral:rRNA from 1 species
CGCCGCUCAGAAACUCAAGAAUGACGGGGCCGCACAGCGUGGAGCAUGUGGUUAAUCGAAGCAACGCGAAGAACCUUACCAGGCCUUGACAUGCAGAGAACUUUCCAGAGAUGGAUUGGUGCCUUCGGGAACUCUGACACAGGUGCUGCAUGGCUGUCGUCAGCUCGUGUCGUGAGAUGUUGGGUUAAGUCCCGUAACGAGCGCAACCCUUGUCCUUAGUUACCAGCACGUUAUGGUGGGCACUCUAAGGAGACUGCCGGUGUUAAACCGGAGGAAGGUGGGGAUGACGUCAAGUCCUCAUGGCCUUUAUGACCAGGGCUACACACGUACUACAAUGGCCGAUACAAAGGGCAGCGACACUGCGAGGUGAAGCCAAUCCCGUAAAAUCGGUCUCAGUCCGGAUUGGAGUCUGCAACUCGACUCCAUGAAGUUGGAAUCGCUAGUAAUCGUGGAUCAGCAUGCCACGGUGAAUACGUUCCCGGGCCUU